AACGAACGCUGGCGGCAUGCCUAACACAUGCAAGUCGAACGAGACCUUCGGGUCUAGUGGCGGACGGGUGCGUAACGCGGGGGAAGCUGCCCUUAGGUUCGGAAUAACUCCCCGAAAGGGGUGCUAAUACAGGAUAAUGUAAUAGGACCAAAGAUGUAUCGCCUUUGGAUGGGCGCGGGUUGGAUUAGCGAGUUGGUAGGGUAAAAGCCGACCAAGGCGUCGUUCCAGAGCUGGUGUGUGAGGAUGACCAGCCACACUGGAACUGCGACACGGCCCAGACUCCUACGGGAGGCAGGAGUGGGGUAUAUUGGACGAUGGGCGAAAGCCUGAUACAGCAAUGCCGCGUGAGUGAGGAAGGCCUUAGGGUUGUGAAGCUCUUUUACCCGGGAUGAUAAUGACAGUACCGGGAGAAUAAGCACCGGCUAACUCCGUG
rnacentral:rRNA from 1 species